GUUCCUGUAGAGAAAUGCAAAAGGAGUUGGACUUCUAAUCCAAAGGUAGUGGGUUCGAAUCCCACCUGGAAUG